rnacentral:rRNA from 1 species
UACGUAGGGUGCAAGCGUUAAUCGGAAUUACUGGGCGUAAAGCGUGCGCAGGCGGUGCUGUAAGACAGGUGUGAAAUCCCCGGGCUCAACCUGGGAACUGCAUCUGUGACUGCAUCGCUGGAGUGCGGCAGAGGGGGAUGGAAUUCCGCGUGUAGCAGUGAAAUGCGUAGAUAUGCGGAGGAACACCGAUGGCGAAGGCAAUCCCCUGGGCCUGCACUGACGCUCAUGCACGAAAGCGUGGGGAGCAAACAGG